GCGAGAGGCUAGAGCGGCCUCUACGUUCAGGGCUGGGCCCAUUUGUUAAUGGGAACAAUUGUGGUGACCGCGGUCGGGCGGGCGUGGGAAACCUGAGUCGGCCACUCAGUGCUUGAUCCGGGUUCGUGGGUGACCCUUAGAGUGACGGCAGAUUCGAGGCCUCGUCUUCACUAUGGAUGCUGUGGCUCCUUCAUGCUCAGACCUGGUCCUGAGGCCCAGAUGCUCUCAUGCCUGCUUGACCUCUGCAGGACCUGCCUUCUUUGUCUCCAGCAAAGGUGUCUGGUGCUGGUCUACAGGCUUGUGGCUCUGUCAACAGCCACCGGGAAAAGCCACACAACUCCAGGCUUGAUAAAGCCAGAUCUUCCAGGUGGAAGGAAGAGGACCUAAAUCUCAGACCAGGAAUGCCUCCUCUUGUGGCUGGAUAAAGUCCAAAUCUCCAUAAUGCGGCCCUUCUGUGUUUAUGUGACCGUGAAUUCUUGCUAUCUUUGAAUUCUCAGUAAGCAUCCACUUUCUAGAUGUAAACGAUCCUUAAAUUAUAGUUGGUCCCCAACCAGAAGUAUGCUGCAGAUAUACCUGUUCCUCCCUCGUGUUUAUGAAAACGAGAUGUGAAGACUUGUCCUCACAGAAAAGUUUUGCAUCCUCAAAAAUUUCUUUCUCAACCGAAAAAUA